rnacentral:rRNA from 1 species
GGCCUAACCCCAUGCACAUGUAAAUGGCAGCAGCAGGAGGAGGAUAUUUCUUCUGCGUGGUCGAGAGGCGGACGGGUGAGUAAUAACAUAUGGAAUCUGCGCCUGUAGUGGGGGAUAUCAUCUGGAAACAUACGCUAUUACAGCGUAUGUGUAUGGGGGAAAGCGGGGGACCUUCUGGCCCCUCGCGAUAUAAUAAGCGCAUAUCUGAUUAGAUAUUGGGGGGGGUAUAGGCCCACCACGACGAGGAUCUGUAUAUGGUGUGAGAGGAUGAUCACCCACACAGGAAGUGAGACACGGUCCAGAGUCUUAUGGGAGGCAGCACUGUGGAAUAUUGGACACUGGGGGCAAGCCUGAUCCACCCAUACCGCGUGUGUGAAGAAAGCGUUUGGGUUGUAAAACCCUUUUUUUGGGAAAGAGAUCCAGCUGGGUAAUACCCGGUGGGGAUGACGGUACCCAAAGAAUAAGCACAGGGUAAAUUUGUGCCCGCAGCCGCGGUAAUAUGAAGGGUGCAAGCGUUACUCUGAAUUACUGGGGGUAAAGCGUGCGUACGUGGUCUUCUAAGUCCGUUAGAAAGCCCCCGGCUCAACCUGGGAAAUGCACUGGAUACUGGGCGAGUAGAGUGUGGUUGAGAGUAGCGGAAUUCUCCGCGUAGCACAAAAAAUGUAUAGAUCAGGAGGAACACCCAUGGGGAAGGCACAUCCCCGGACCAACACUGACACUGUGGCACGAAAGCGUGGGGAGCAAACACGAUUAGAUACCCCGGUAGUCCACGCCCUAAAAGAUGAUGAAAAGGAUGUUGGGUGCUAUUUGGGCACGCUAGUAGCGAAGCUAACGCGUGAAGUCGACCGUCGG